UGGGGAAUAUUGGACAAUGGGCGCAAGCCUGAUCCAGCCAUGCCGCGUGUGUGAAGAAGGCCUUUUGGUUGUAAAGCACUUUAAGCGAGGAGGAGGCUACUUGGAUUAAUACUCUAGGAUAGUGGACGUUACUCGCAGAAUAAGCACCGGCUAACUCUGUGCCAGCAGCCGCGGUAAUACAGAGGGUGCGAGCGUUAAUCGGAUUUACUGGGCGUAAAGCGUGCGUAGGCGGCUUCUUAAGUCGGAUGUGAAAUCCCUGAGCUUAACUUAGGAAUUGCAUUCGAUACUGGGAAGCUAGAGUAUGGGAGAGGAUGGUAGAAUUCCAGGUGUAGCGGUGAAAUGCGUAGAGAUCUGGAGGAAUACCGAUGGCGAAGGCAGCCAUCUGGCCUAAUACUGACGCUGAGGUACGAAAGCAGGGGGAGCAAACAGG
rnacentral:rRNA from 1 species